rnacentral:rRNA from 1 species
UACGUAGGGACCAAGCGUUGUUCGGAUUUACUGGGCGUAAAGGGCGCGUAGGCGGCAUGGCAAGUCACUUGUGAAAUCUCCGGGCUUAACUCGGAACGGCCAAGUGAUACUGUUGAGCUAGAGUGCAGAAGGGGCAAUCGGAAUUCUUGGUGUAGCGGUGAAAUGCGUAGAUAUCAAGAGGAACACCUGAGGUGAAGACGGGUUGCUGGGCUGACACUGACGCUGAGGCGCGAAAGCCAGGGGAGCAAACGGG